UGUCACGUCCGGUCCGUGGUACAUUGUUCUGUCUAAACUCGCUUUCCUUUUAAUAGUUUCGGUCAUUAAUUUCAUUCAAGCAGUGCUCCUGUCUUACGAGUGACGAUUGUCUUAAUAUCAGUGCAAGUUUCUAUCGUCUCUUCGAAGAUUGUGUGAACCUUACGAGUUACGACCAAUUUGCACUCGGCAAGGGUGAAGGAUCAAAGAUGACCGCGAACCUAUCCUUCCUGUCUCUCGUCUGAUCGGUUGAAGUUAUUCGUUCUCGCGUUGUGCAAGUGAACUUCUCGCGAACAUUCGUUCAAAGUUUCCGUGGACUGAUUCGAAUUCAAUGAGGACCAUUCUCGAAAAUGGAGAUACUCUAAUUUCGGGAGUAUCGAAAACGGCGUGAACAUGGUUGGCCUCUCAUCGGUUGGAGUGAUUUCGUUUCGCACUACGCAAGUGGCCCUCUCUCGAUUUUGUGUCGAAUGUUUUCGUGGACUUGCUUUCGGAUUCGACAAUUUGUUGCCUUCCCAUUCAAAAGAAAACCGCUAAGAUCUAGGUUUUUCUUUCUUGCGAUCCAUACUGUGUUCGGCUGAGUGACGAGAAUUUGCCUGCUGGUGUUUCGUUCGAGGUGCAUGGCUCGCGUGGAUUUUUGAGCCUCCGAGGUUCUGCGUGUCCUUGCUCAAAGUUAAGACUUUGAUUCGUCUCGCACUUUUGUUUCAUCGGUUUCGGUUCUCUCGUGGUUCGUCUAAUAUGUGUGAACUAUUCGCGGUGGUUUCGAGGAAUUCAACGGUUCCUUUCGAUGGUCGCGGACAGUUUCGAUUCUCGCGUUUUCGGAUUCGAUUAUAUCUGUGUUUUCGCGUUGUGUGAAACCUUGACUCAGUGAUCGUGCGUUUUGUGUGUCCUGUUUUUCAUCCAGUGGGACGAGUCUCGGGAAUUGUGUCGAUGAUUAUUCUGGAAUAUUCUGCCCCAUUAAGCUAUCUUCGUCGGGUUGGUGAGGCUCUCCGGUCAGUGUAGUUUCAGUGACAGUGUUGUGAGUGCUUUCAGCCUGGCGUCGGGCAAUUGGAUAACCUACUGCUGAAUCGUCUGCAUUGAGCUGCGUACUGCUGAUCUGAUCGGUAUGUAAUUUUAUUUUAUUUGUAGCUUUCUGAAUAGAUUAAACUCGCAAUGGUUAAUAGUGCCGAAGUAAGGUGCUUUC